rnacentral:rRNA from 1 species
UACCAGCACCCCCGAGUGGUCGGGACGUUUUAUUGGGCCUAAAGCAUCCGUAGCCGGUUCUACAAGUCUUCCGUUAAAUCCACCUGCUUAACAGAUGGGCUGCGGAAAGAUACUAUAGAGCUAGGAGGCGGGAGAGGCAAGCGGUACUCGAUGGGGUAGGGGGUAAAAAUCCGUUGAUCCAUUGAAGACCACCAGUGGCGAAGGCGGCUUGCCAGAACGCGCUCGACGGUGAGGGAUGAAAGCUGGGGGAGCAAACCGG